rnacentral:rRNA from 1 species
GCGUAUGAUUUCUACAACAGCUAUGCUAGAGUUACUGGUUUCAGCAUUAGAAAGAAUAAGGUCAAGUAUAGCAAAACUGAGUCACAUCAUAUGCGUUAUAGGCGGUUUGUUUGUUCCAGACAAGGGAAACAUGACAGCAAGUUGCUAACAGAGGAAGGACACAGCCGUAGGCUCAGACCCGAGACACGCUGCUUUUGUGAAGCACAUCUGACCGUCAAGCUUGACCAAAAGCGUGGGGUUUGGUAUGUUGAAAGUUUUGAGGACAAGCAUAGCCAUAUGUUGGCAGGACCGGACGAGGUACCUUUUCUUUGGUCCCACAGAAAAAUCAAAGAGUACCAGAAGCAUGAGAUAAUGUCCAUGGGAGCUGCAGGGAUUAGAAUUCAUGACAUGAUGGAUUCCUUCAUCAGCAAACAUGUAUGGUAUGGCGGUGUUGGUUUUACCAGGCGUGAAAUAUACAACCUUUGCGCCAGGGAGAAGAGGAAGCUGCUUUCAAAAGGUGAUGCUGCCACAGCCAUAGGCAUCAUGGCCAGUAGGAAACAGAGGGAUCCUAGCUUCUUUUUCGAGUACAAGCUAGAUAAGGAAGGACACUUGAAUAGGAUGUUCUGGUGUGACUCCCAGUCUCGUCAUGACUACGAGGACUUUGGGGACGUGCUUGUAUUUGACAGCACGUACAAGAUGAACCGCUGUGGUAUGCCAUUCAUACCUUUUGUUGGUCUUAACAAUCACCGGAAGACCACUGUUUUUGGUUGUGCCAUAGUCUCGGACGAGACCGAACAGACAUACGUGUGGCUGCUGCAGACUUUUUUGAGGUGCAUGUGUCAAAAGAUGCCAAAGAGUGUAAUCACAUACGCCGACGCUGCGAUGAUCAAGGCUAUUCGUGAAGUCUUGCCAGACGUGUGGCACCGUAUAUGCACGUGGCAUAUAGAAAAAAAUAUGAAGAUUCACCUCAGUCACAAGUCCUUGAAGGAGUUCCGAACUCUUCUGUACUACAACAUGUCCACGACCACGUUUGAGGAGAGAUGGCAC